GGUCCCAGUACUGGAAACAAAAUGCAAGAAAGAUUCUUGCUAUACAAGAACAAGCCUUCCAGGAGGUACAGGGCUCUAAAAGGAGGAGAAUGAGGUAAUCUUAAGUAUUCGUAUUUCUCUUAUUUGUCCAAAUAUUGAAAGGCAUUGUUUAUUUACUUAUUUGUCCUUACCUUUGUUGUCCAGACUAUUGAAACUUUAUUUCAAAUCAGCACCGGUUUGCCAAUCCUUUGGCCAUUAAUGCUUCUGUAUUUUAGUGGCGUCUAUAAUGUUGGGCCAAAGAUUUAUUUGGCUACCACAAGCAAAACCACUAAAACACAAACAGCAUAUAUCUAUUAUGUUUUUUCCUUGUAAUAGCCGAAAAGAUGAAGAUGCUGCCGGAAUUGGAGAGGACACUGAGAAGAUAGAAGAGCUUGUACUGGCAUCACAGACCUUACCAGAUAUCACUGCAGCAAUCAGAGAGCUCACCAAUCUAGCUGCCACUCAAAGAGUGAUCCUGACUCCUUCACAGCUACAGACCAUCAAGCAAGGAUUCUGCUGUGUUAUUUGUAUGAAAUUCAUCGAGAAGCCAGUCUUCACCGAGUGUUGCCGGAGCAUUAUUGGCUGCAAAACGUGUGGUACAGUGGCAGGAGACCUCUGUGCACUGUGCAAAAUGUAGAGGGAACACUGCAAACAACACCAUAUAUGAAAUUAAUGGUCUGUCAGAGACAUUUUCUGUUCUGAGAUCCCUUUAUGAAGAGGAGUAACAUGUUGAAUUUUUACACAAACGAAUUUCAAGUUAACCGUCUUCAAGUUAAAUAGAGCUAAUGGCUUUUCACACAUUGCACUGAGUUGUGGUUAUAAGACAGAGCAAUGCCUGUUUGUAUGGGGCAAAGUCAUUGUUCACUGCUCUAGAAUACAAUUCUGAAAUGUCUGAAUAAUGCUCGGCAAACUGGUUCUCAACUGUAAUCUUGUCCUGUUCAGUUGAAAAUGGAUCCACUCCAAAAGUUGAAAGCCUGGUCAGUGAUGAUCCCAGCUGUUGGCUGUAAAGGUCUGCUGCUUCAGCUGAAUGAGGCAAGAGUUCCUGUUGGAUUUUUUUGGGACACCCACGGCCAGCCAAGUCAUUUGGUGUUCCUUUACCUGUAAAAUAAAGACCAUACUGUUGGUAUAGAAACUUGUGAAUGCCUUUUGUAAUAAUUGUAAUCCGUAAUUUCACCUGGAAUUCUAUGAGCAUUCCAUGACUCCACCAGCCUUGUAAGACCAAUCUCACACAAGCGGCCAGUAAGGUUGGACACACAAUAUCUCACAAGGCUGUCGUUCAUGUCUAUUUCCUCUUGAUCCACCAACCCCAUAAGUGCUGUCUUCAGUGGAUAGUUGACACGAUUGUUGACUUCAGGCCAGAUUCGUUCAACUAUAUGAUUCUGAAUUUGCAACAAAGAUGUGUCAUCAGUCAAUGUGUUCUGGUGGGUAAAUAAAUCUUAGUCUAUCAAGGAAAAAUGGUCAUGCAGAAUUCCCAGUAAAUGUAUUAACUCAGCAGUCAUUAUGCACAUUGACCACCGAACAAGUAAAUUUAUAGUUUUACCAGGAAUUCUGCUGGAAGACAAAUAGGAUGUAGCUGCUUCUGCAGCAGUUUUUUUAUUGUUAAGCUGGAACCAGGUUUUAAAAAGAAACAUUCUCAGCCAUAGUUAAUUUUAAUUAACUCAAAAAUUUGGAAAGCAUAGUAAUAGCAACGACAAUUUGUCUCAUGCAUAAAAACAACAGUAUGCUGCUGAAGCAAAAAUAAUAAUAAUAAUAAAAAAAACAGGCAUACAAGUGAAUUGCUGAAGCAACCAAACAAACUGUUGAGCUGUACCUUUGUGGAUGAAGUCUGUAAAUAUGGCCUUCGCUCCUGAUUAUGGCGGUGAGAUGACAGCAGCUCCUGCAUGAAAAGUGUCAAAUAAAACUCCUUGCCAUGAUCUACUCGUACCUGGUCCCACAUACCAUAGGCAAGGACUGCAGGCCUAUUGGAUGAAAAAGUGUUUUAUUUUGUGCAAAACUUUUCAAACUUAA
rnacentral:lncRNA from 1 species